AUGUCACAUUUGGCAACAGCUUGAGUUUACUUCCGUUUUGGCCGUAAACACUUCCUGUUCCCCUACCUUGUAAAAGCGUGUUUGACUUUAGCGUGAGUGACGUGAACUGACUUUGUGACGAAAAUAUUAAAAAACGAGAAAAUGCUGCUAAUAUCCAACCGCGCUAAGUUGUGUUCGCUGGCGUUCACUGCCGCUCGGAUGUACAGCAGCGGGCCGGCUGUUGCCAACAACAACCCGACAGUUUUCUUCGACAUUUCGGCGGACAACGAGACACUCGGCAGGGUAACCUUUGAGCUUAACGCGGAAGUGGUGCCUAAAACUGCAGAAAACUUCCGGGCCCUGUGCACGGGGGAGCAUGGAUUUGGAUUCAAGGGAUCCAUUUUCCACCGGGUCAUCCCUCAGUUUAUGUGCCAGGGUGGAGAUUUCACAAACCACAACGGGACCGGCGGGAAGUCCAUUUACGGAUGGAAGUUUCCGGAUGAGAACUUCAAACUGAAGCACACUGGACCUGGAAUCCUCUCAAUGGCCAAUGCCGGACCUAACACUAAUGGAUCCCAGUUCUUCAUCUGCACCGCUAAAACCGAAUGGCUGGACGGCAGACAUGUCGUCUUCGGCAGCGUGAAAGAGGGAUUGGACGUGGUGAAAAAAGUGGAGUCCUUCGGCUCUCGCUCGGGCCGCACCUCGAAGAAGAUCACCAUCGCCGACUGCGGCGAACUCAAGUAGAAAACUCCUGUGGUUUUCUUUCCUGCCGUUUGGUGUCCUGCUGGGCUGCAUUAAAAUUUCCUUCGAAAAUCUGCUUGAGGAUGAAAUGAUUGCCCAUCGGGCACAUCCUGGCCAUCAGUCAUGCCGUCAUUACCCGCCGUGCCUAACCAAUGUCAGGCAUCUCCCCUCAGCAAUGAUCAAUGGGCGAGCGCAGCUGCACGUGAAGCGCCGCCUUGUAUUUCUCGGUGUGUUUCAGGGACCGAGGUCGUGCCCGGUUCCGCCGGGGAGGGGGGCUAUCGUCUUUCAUUAAGGGCCAGGCGAGCGCUGAGAUUCGAUCUGGCAUCUGCAGCUCGUUACCAAAGCAAAUAUGCGCUGAGAAGGAAAAUGCACGAGUGACUUCUAACGUAUAGCUUUUUAUUUGAUAAGCAAGUAUGCUUGGAGUCCUUUUAUGUGCUUGGGGCAGCAAAGUAGUAACACUAGCGUAAGCUAAAGUGCUAACAUUACAUACGAGCUAAAGUGCUAACAUUACACUGACAUUUUAGCCUAUUUGCCAACAAAAAACAAAAAGAUCAUACAUACCGUAUGUCUGUAGCUGAUUGAAGUUUUAUUUUAAUAUGUGUAGCGAAGCCUGCUUUAAAAAAAAAAAAAAAAAAAAAAUUACACAGUCGUGGGUGUACACACUAGGUGGGCUAAUCUAGCUUGCUGUCCAUGACUUUCUUUCAAAAAUAAAGCAAACAAGUAAGGGAGGUUAUCAAUUUUUGUCACAUUUGGUGCUCAUAAAUAAGAGUGCCCAAACUUAAUGCCUCCAAGGGCCAAGGGGAAAACGUGAUUAUGGACAAAAACAGUCAUUUUACGAGCUUAAAUGUAAAUAAUAAAAUCAAAACUUUUCACUUCAUAUAUGUUACCGAUAUUGGGGCCUUGAGUAUUGGCCGAUGGCAAUAUUAACACAGUAUGAUAUCAACAGGAGUCAUACUUUUAUUAUAUUGUAGUGUGGAAUGUUAGAACAAGUUUGAUCAAGUGAAAUUACUCAAACAGAGAACAAUGGUAGGUAGAAG